AUUUUUUUAAAAAUAUUAGUUUUGUGUGGAAUUUUUGAAAGAUUUAUUUUAAUAGUAGUGGUGAGUGAAAUUUUUAUUGGGUAAAUUAGUAUUUAAAUCGUUGGAGAAAUUUUUGGGAUUUUUAAUAGUAGUUUUUAAUUGAUGUACCUUUUGUUUAAGGGAUAGUUGAGGUUUAUUGUAGGAUUAGAUUUUCUCGAAGUUUAAUGAGCUAUUUUAUUUAAAUUGCUAGUGUUGAAAUAUUAGAGUUGAUUUUAAAAUUGAAGUUAGAUGCUUUUCGCAUUACUUGAUAGCUAGUUUUGUUGGUAAAUGUAUAUUAGUACUGUUUUUAAAUUUUUAAAGACAUAUUUGUAGAGAGAUGAGUUUUUAUAAUUUUAAUGGCUUUAUUUUUUUAAAGCUUUGUAAUGUGGGAAUUAUAUUUGUCAUCAAUUAAUUUUUGUUAUUAAAUAGCUGUUAAUAGUUCUAUUAUUUAUAUUUAGGUCGUGUUUUUAUCUUAAAAUUAUAGAAAUUUGUGUUUCUUUGAGUUAUUAUGAUAAUAUGAGUAUUUUAUUUUUAGAGGUUAAUUUUUUUAAAUAAUAUUUAUAUUAAAUUUAAUUGUGUAUUUAAUUAUUAAUAAGUAACUCGACAAAUAUAUAUUCCAACUGUUUAUCAAAAACAUUUCUCUUAGUUAAUUAUUUCGAGUUAUACCUGCCCAGUGAUAUGUUAAACGGCUGCGGUACCCUGACUGUGCGAAGGUAGCAUAAUCUAUUGCCUUUUAAUUGGUGGCUAGUAUGAAUGGUGAAAUGUGAGUGUAAUUGUCUCUUUUGUAAUUUUUAAAAUUUAAUUUAUAAGUGAAAAGGCUUAUAUAAAUUAAAAAGGCGAUGAGACCCUGUUGAGCC
rnacentral:rRNA from 1 species